CCUACGGGGGGCAGCAGUGGGGAAUAUUGGACAAUGGGCGAAAGCCUGAUCCAGCAACGCCGCGUGAGGGAUGACGGCCUUCGGGUUGUAAACCUCUUUCAGCAGGGACGAAGCGCAAGUGACGGUACCUGCAGAAGAAGCACCGGCCAACUACGUGCCAGCAGCCGCGGUAAUACGUAGGGUGCGAGCGUUGUCCGGAAUUAUUGGGCGUAAAGGGCUCGUAGGCGGUUUGUCGCGUCGGGAGUGAAAACUCAGGGCUUAACCCUGAGCCUGCUUCCGAUACGGGCAGACUAGAGGUAUGCAGGGGAGAACGGAAUUCCUGGUGUAGCGGUGAAAUGCGCAGAUAUCAGGAGGAACACCGGUGGCGAAGGCGGUUCUCUGGGCAUUACCUGACGCUGAGGAGCGAAAGUGUGGGGAGCGAACAGGAUUAGAUACCCUUGUAGUC
rnacentral:rRNA from 1 species